UACGUAGGGGGCGAGCGUUGUCCGGAUUUAUUGGGCGUAAAGAGCGUGUAGGCGGCCCGGUAAGUCCGCUGUGAAAGUCGGGGGCUCAACCCUCGAAUGCCGGUGGAUACUGUCGGGCUAGAGUGCGGAAGAGGCGAGUGGAAUUCCUGGUGUAGCGGUGAAAUGCGCAGAUAUCAGGAGGAACACCAAUGGCGAAGGCAGCUCGCUGGGACGGUACUGACGCUGAGACGCGAAAGCGUGGGGAGCAAACAGG
rnacentral:rRNA from 1 species